CAGCACUUUGCAUCCUAAAAAUCUGACCCCCGAAAGAACAGACACGGGGACAGUCCUGGAUCUCGGGGGGACAGGGAUGGAGGAGCUUCCCGGGGAUCAGGGGGCAUUUGGGGAUUUUGGGGGGGAGCACAGGGAUGGAGGAACUUCCCGGGGAGCAGAGAGAAUUUGGGGAUUUUAGGGAUUUUGGGGAGCACAGGGAUGCAGGAGCUUCCCAGGGAUCACAGGGGAGGUUUUUGGGAUGCAGGAGCUUCCCGGGGGACCGGAGAGGGUUUUUUGGGGAGCACAGGGAUGAGCUCAGCCCCCAGCCCCGAGCACUCCCACCAUCUGCCUUUCCCAGGCAGGCGCUCAGGAAACUUCUCCCGGCUCCAAUUGCUGCGCUCCACCUUUUAUUCUAAUGAAUUCCGCAUCGCCAUCCGGGACCCCGGGGCUCGCAGGUACCGCAUCCCCGGGGAGCAGAACCGGGCUGGGACGGGGGAUUCCCUGCCCGGGACCCCGGGGCUCGCAGGUACCGCAUCCCCGGGGAGCAGAACCGGGCUGGGACGGGGGAUUCCCUGCCCGGGACCCCGGGGCUCGCAGGUACCGCAUCCCCGGGGAGCAGAACCGGGCUGGGACGGGGGAUUCCCUGCCCGGGACCCCGGGGCUCGCAGGUACCGCAUCCCCGGGGAGCAGAACCGGGCUGGGACGGGGGAUUCCCUGCCCGGGACCCCCAACCCGGGUUGGGGUGCAGGAAAUGUUCCAGCUGUGCUGCCCAGGCUGGGUUUGGGGUGGGAGCAGCUUUUGCUGGGGCUCGGAUGGGUUUGGGAGAAGCUUGGGAUUUGGGGAAAUCCAUCCCAGCUUGGCCGGGGUUGGGCUGAGCCUCCCCCUGCGCUGCUCCAAACGGGGUGGGACAUCCCAAACACUCCCUGGGGCUCGGAUCUGCCCGGAUCCAGGGCCCAUCUCCCCCAGGGUGCUGGAUCCAGGCAGGAUUCCAGCCCGGAGAGGCACCCACGGGAAGAGAGAGGCGCGGGAGCCCUUCCCGUUAUCCACAGGAAACUGCCCCGCAGUUUUGAGCAGGGUUUGGAAUGUGAGGGGACACCCGACAUCCAGGGAAUCCUGACAAAUCCCAGAAAUCCUUCCUGGGCGCGGUCCGGACCCAGGGCAGGGUCUGUCCUGGGUUUUGGAUCCCUUUGUCCAUCCCGCAGGGCUGGGGGAGCCCCUGGAUCCUGCCGGGUCCUUGGGAAGGGCAGCACUGCCCGCUCCCGGCUGUGCCCGGCUCUCCAGGCUGCGAUGGAUGCAGGGGGUUUGGGAACAGCCAGGCUGCAGGUGGAGAGUGGCUUCCUGAGCUUGCCAAAAAAUCCUGAAUUCCCUGUGAGCCUCCCGGCCCUUCCCUGUGCCUGUUGCUGCAUCCUGGGGCCGUUUUCUCCUCCUCCCUCUCUGCUUUCCCCACAUCCAAUUCCUUCUCCUUCACCAUCUGUUUUUCCACAUCCAAUUCCUCCUCCGUCACCAUCUCUGCUUCCCCCACACCCGAUUCCUCCUCCCUCACCAUCUCAGCUUUCCCCAUGGCCAAUUCUCCAUCCCUCACCGUCUCUCUCGUGCCAAUUCCUGCUCCCUCACCAUCUCUGCUUUCCCUGUGGCCAAUUCCUUCUCCUUUACCAUCUCUCCUAUGCCUGUAUCCAACCCCCCCC
ensembl:lncRNA